UACGGAGGGUGCAAGCGUUAAUCGGAAUUACUGGGCGUAAAGCGCACGCAGGCGGUUUGAUAAGUUAGAUGUGAAAGCCCCGGGCUCAACCUGGGAAUUGCAUUUCAAACUGGGCGUCUAGAGUAUUUUAGAGGGGGGUAGAAUUCCACGUGUAGCGGUGAAAUGCGUAGAGAUGUGGAGGAAUACCGAUGGCGAAGGCGGCCCCCUGGGCAAAUACUGACGCUCAGGUGCGAAAGCGUGGGGAGCAAACAGG
rnacentral:rRNA from 1 species